rnacentral:rRNA from 2 species
UACGAACUGUGCGAACGUUAUUCGGAAUCACUGGGCUUACAGGGUGCGUAGGCGGCCUUCCAAGUCAGGUGUGAAAUCCCACAGCUCAACUGUGGAACAGCGCUUGAAACUGGUUGGCUUGAGUCAGCUAGAGGUACACGGAACUUCCGGUGGAGCGGUGAAAUGUGUUGAUAUCGGAAGGAACACCAGAGGCGAAAGCGGUGUACUGGAGCUGGUCUGACGCUGAGGCACGAAAGCCAGGGGAGCGAACGGG